CUUCUGCUCUCCCCGCACAGGAGGGCAGAGCGAGGCCGCACGACGCUAUCUGCCCUGACGGCGUCGAAGGCCCGCAUCGCUCCGGGCUGCGGUGCCGAGAGGGUUGAGGGUCCCUCCCCGGCGC
rnacentral:ncRNA from 1 species